ACCUUUAAUAAGUACAGUUAAUCACCAUAAAACAUAUCCAUGUCUCUUUUUGAAAGGAAAAGUUAAAUAAUUAGCACUGUUAACAAUAAACACUGCAAUAAAGAUGUUCAGAAAAUAAAAAUAUUAGUGUUUAUUGUUUUUCCUUCCACCUUGUUAACAUACCAGGAAUUGCCAAGGCCAAGAAAUGGCUGCACUUUUUUAUUGCACUUGAGAUUUGUUAAUGACCCCCCCAAAGCUGCCUCACUAUUUAUCAGUAGUUCAUCUUGUGAAAUGGGCAAAAUCUGGAAAAACUGCAUCCUUGGCGAGGCUGACAGGUGCUACAUUCCUACUACCGACAUAGCUGACACCCUCCUGUUGGGCCACUGAAGUUAUGCACACACAAUUAAAAUUACAUGUUCGAAUCCAGAUGUAAAGUCAAAGAAAAUCAAAAAUGAAGGAGCUGAAGUCUUAAGAACUGAUCUGGGGAAUGCAGGAUUGUCUCUGUCAGAGAACGGAGCCGUUAGAGGAGCGACCUGGGUGGCAAAAGGUGAAGAGAAUGAGAUACCAAAGGGAGACUGAGCAGAAUCACAAAUUUGGCAUGUCACAUGGUCAAACAGUGAAGAUUUACGACUGAUCGGGUUCCUCAUCAGCAGCAUGGUGUUGUGGCUCCAGAAUGCCAGGUAUGGGAGUGAGAUCAGACUCUGACUAUAGUUUGUACACCCCUUCUGGCAGCAUACAGCCGGUGUGACUAGUUGAAAAUGACAGUGUCACCUGUGGGAGAAGGGCGAAAUCUUUUAUUUUUUUUUUUUUCUACAUCUUCAAGAUUGCAGGAUCUAUGAUUUACUCAGCGGUGACAUCAUGGAGACCGCAGCUAUUUUUAUUGGACGGUAAAGGGCCAGCUCCUUUCCGUGCACCGCCACCUGCCCAAUCCACACCAGUCAACAAGACCCUGGAGAGAAGGGGGAAAAAAAUCAUGCACCCAAAAAAUGAUUGAGAGUUGAAAGGCUGAAAAUGAUAUAGGCAUGCCAUGCUACUGUCUGAAGCAUGUCUAACAAGUCAGAUGUCUUUUCACAGCUACUGGUCUGCCAUCCCAAUUUGUCACACUGAUGCACUGAGUGCAGUCAGUUGUGUAUCCUAUAAUGUUGAUGCCAUUGUGUUUUAUCACUGAUCUAAUAUGUUUUAUCUUUGCU